rnacentral:rRNA from 1 species
AUGUCGAAGAGGACGGUGCUGCGGGUGGACACCUCCUGCGCCAAGUGCAAGCGCAAGGUCAUGCUCGCCGUCUCCAGCCUCCAAGGUGUGGACAAGAUCGAGGUCGACUCGGAGAAGGGCACGAUGACGGUGACCGGCGGCGUGGACCCGGUGGACGUGGUGGAGGCCACCAGGAGGAAGGCCGGGAAGCGCGCCGACGUCCUCACCAUCGGCCCGCCGCCGUCGGCGUCCACCGCGUCCAAGCCGGAGGAGAAGAAGAAGCCCGAGCAGCAGAAGCCGCAGCAGACAUAUGUGGCGGCGGAGAGGAGGGCGCCUGAGCCGCCAGUGACGUUGUACGUGCACCACGUCCCGGCGCCGCCGCCGUCGUGGCCCGCGUACGAGCAGUGCGCCGUCGUGCCCUGCCACUACCAGCAGCAGCAGGACCCCUGCUCCAUCAUGUAG